rnacentral:rRNA from 1 species
AUUGAACGCUGGCGGCAGGCCUAACACAUGCAAGUCGAACGAGUGGUGGACGGGUGAGUAAUGUCUGGGAAACUGCCUGAUGGAGGGGGUUAACUACUGGAAACGGUAGCUACUUCCGCAUACCAUCAGAUGUGCCCAGAUGGGUUUUGCUAGUUGGGGGGGUAACGGCUCACCAAGGCGACGAUCCCUAGCUGGUCUGAGAGGAUGACCAGACACACUGGAACUGAGACACGGUCCAGACUCCUACGGGAGGCAGCAGUGGGGAAUAUUGCACAAUGGGCGAAAGCCGGAUGCAGCCAUGCCGCGUGUAUGAAGAAGGCCUUCGGGUUGUAAAGUACUUUCAGCGGGGAGGCGUUACCCGCAGAAGAAGCACCGGCUAACUCCGUGCCAGCAGCCGCGGUAAUUC